UUGGAGCAUGCGCAGGACAGGCUGGUGUCAAGAACAGGAAGUCCGAUCAUGCGGAACGCAAGCCAGCGGUCUCCAUGGUAACGGUUCCUGUCUUCACAGGAAGCACGUCACUGUCGUUUGCCGGCGCCUGCGGCUCUGAUGAGCGGACGCGGACAGCAGUCUAGCCUUCUAUCAACACAAAUGCAAGGACUGGUGACCUUUGUACGUACUGAUACCCUUCUACUGUUCAAUGCCAGGAAAGCAUGACUCGCAGCAACGGGCAUGGAGCCAGAAUGAUAAAGCAACUGAGAUACAGUGGAAAUUAAAGGCCAUUUCAAUGAGCAGAACUGU